AACAAAACAAACCAAACCAUCACAACGCUAUACAUUAUUUUUACUUAGGUAGGAAAUAAUUCAAAAUGUUGGUCCGUCCAGGGACAUUAUUCCUCAAUGCAGUGAUUCGCAAGAACCUGCAAGCCCCGAAGGUAUGGCAUCAUUCUACACCUCAGGCUGGAGAUAGUCUGCCAUUCUGCAAGUCCAUUGGGAGACCAGGAAAAAUGACUUUAUUAUUUAUCCUGUUUCUGGGUUCGGGAUGGUGGACUCCAUGUAUAGCCUACAUGUAUAUGAUGUAUAAAUAAAUAAAUUUUCCAUUUCUUUUGAUCUUCCGCACGUUAAGGCUUAAAUUAAGAAGUUUUGAUCCAUUUCAAGGAAAAGUAGUACGUACUUAUUAGUU